UAGGGCCAUAUCCCUUUGAAAACACUAGUUCCCGUACGAUCACUGAAGUUAAGCAAUGUUAGUACCUAGAUGGGUGAUCUGGUCAGUACCUAGAUGGGUGAUCGCUUGGGAAUACCAGGCGCUGUAAG